AAGAUACAGUGUUCCUUCCUGGGAUCUCCUUGCUUUUGUUUCAAUCAAGUGGUCCGACGUCGCGACAUUGCCCUGAAGAUCAAAGAAGUUAGUGAAAAAGUGGAUGACAUUGCCAAAGAGAGAGCUAAGUAUGGCUUUGAUCUGUACAAAGGCACUGAUGAACUCCAGCGACUAACAACUACCUCCUUUGUUGAUGAAUCAAGCGUGAUUGGUCGAGAUGGUGAAAAGAGAAAUGUUGUAAGCAAGUUGCUGGCUGAAAGUAGUCACGAAGCACGGGACGUGGAUGUCAUCUCUCUAGUAGGGCUGGGCGGAAUUGGAAAAACAACUCUCGCCCAACUAGCAUUUAAUGAUUCUGAGGUUACGGCUCAUUUUGAGAAAAAGAUAUGGGUGUGUGUUUCAGAACCAUUUGAUGAGAUUAGAAUAGCCAAAGCUAUCCUUGAGCAGCUUGAAGGGAGACCAACGAAUUUGGUUGAAUUGCAAUCCCUUUUGCAAGGGGUUUCUGAAUCCAUUACUGGAAAGAGGCUCCUUCUUGUCCUUGAUGAUGUAUGGACAGAAAAUCAUGGACAAUGGGAACAACUGAAACCAUCUCUCACAGGCUGUGCACGAGGAAGCAGAAUUCUAGUGACCACUCGUAAGGACGCUGUGGCAACGAUGAUGGGAACUGACCACCGGAUCAACAUUGAGAAAUUGUCCGAUGAGAUAUGCAGGUCAAUAUUCAAUCAUGUGGCAUUCCAGGAAAGAAGCGAAGAUGAGCGCGAAAGAUUGACAGAUAUCGGCGAUAAAAUUGCAAACAAGUGCAAGGGCUUGCCGCUAGCUGCCAAGGUAUUAGGAGGUCUAAUGCAGUCUAAAAGAACAAGAGAAGAGUGGGAACGUGUUUUAUCUAGCGAACUGUGGAGGCUAGAUGAGGUUGAUAGAGAUCAGGUUGAAAGUCGAAUAUUUAUACCUUUGCUUUUGAGUUACUACGAUUUACCUUCUGUGGUAAGACGAUGUUUCUUGUACUGUGCCAUGUUUCCAAAAGACUUCGAGAUGGUCAAAGAUGAAUUGGUGAAGAUGUGGAUGGCUCAAGGUUACAUCAAGGAGACUUCAGGUGGAGAUAUGGAGCUUGUAGGAGAGCGGUACUUUCAUGUCUUGGCAGCGCGCUCUUUCUUCCAAGAUUUUGAGACGGAUAGAUUUGAAGGAAUGAAAUUCAAGAUGCAUGAUAUAGUGCAUGAUUUUGCCCAAUAUAUGACAAAAAAUGAAUGUCUAACCGUGGAUGUCAAUACACUUGGAGGAGCAACAGUGGAGACUUCAAUUGAAAGGGUUCGUCAUUUAAGCAUGAUGGUGUCAGAGGAGACAUCUUUUCCCGUGUCUAUUCACAAAGCCAAAGGUCUUCGCAGCCUCUUGAUCUACACUAGAGACCCUUCGUUUGGAGCUGCACUGCCUGAUUUGUUCAAGCAGUUGACAUGCAUCCGGUCAUUGGAUUUGUCAACGUCUUCUAUCAAAGAAAUACCGAACGAGGUAGGGAAAUUGAUACAUUUGAGACACCUCAAUCUGGCAUCUUGUGGAGAGUUGGAGUCCCUGCCAGAAACCAUGUGUGAUUUAUGCAAUCUGCAAUCCCUAGACGUUACUUGGUGUCGGUCUCUCAAGGAAUUGCCCAAUGCGAUUGGAAAACUUAUCAAAUUGAGGCAUCUCCGGAUUUAUCGUUCAGGUGUGGACUUCAUACCAAAGGGAAUAGAGAGGAUAACAUGUCUUCGAACAUUAGAUGUGUUUAAAGUGUGUGGUGGUGGUGAGAAUGAAAGUAAAGCAGCUAAUCUAAGAGAAUUAAAAAACUUAAAUCACAUUGGAGGGAGCUUUAGUAUACGGAAUCUAGGAGGAGGUAUAGAAGAUGCGAGUGACGCUGCAGAAGCACAACUCAAGAAUAAGAAGCGCCUGCUUCGUUUGGAAUUGGGUUUCGACUACAACCAGGAGAACGGCAUUUUAAUUGAAGCUUUACAGCCUCCGUCAGACUUGGAAUGUCUGACCAUAUCUAGUUACGGAGGGUUGGAUUUGCCACAUUGGAUGAUGACAUUAACCAGAUUACAGGAGCUUAGACUUGAUGAUUGUACAAACCUGGAGGUCUUGCGUCCGUUGGGAGGAUUGCCCAACCUUGAAAUCCUGGUACUGAGCUCGUUGAAGGUGAGAAGGCUGGAUGCUGGAUUUUUAGGUAUAGAAAAGGAUGAGAAUGCCAGUAUUAAUGAAGGAGAAAUUGCAAGGGUCACUGCUUUCCCCAAAUUAAAAAGACUUGAUUUUAGGCAUCUCUUAGAAGUAGAAGAGUGGGAAGGAAUUGAAAGGAGAGUGGGAGAAGAAGAUGUCAACACAACUUCAAUAAUAUCCAUUAUGCCACAACUUCAAUAUUUGAGAAUUAUCAAUUGCCCGUUGCUGAGAGCACUACCAGACUAUGUUUUGGCAGCGCCUCUACAGGAAUUAGACAUAAGGUGGUGCACCAUUCUAAGGAAACGUUACGGGAAGGAGGAGAUGGGUGAAGAUUGGCAAAAGAUUUCUCACAUCCCAAACAGUUAUUUUUAUGAUUAGGUGAGAAAGGCAGAACUCUUUAGAACCUGCUUUGAGUGUAUUAAUUAUUUGCUUUGGUGUUUGCUAAGGUUGAGUGUAAAUAAUAUGUAAGCCUUACCAUUUACUCUAUGUGACUGUUUCAGUGGAUUAAAUCCAAGAAAUUCUUAAACC
rnacentral:lncRNA from 1 species